GGGGAAGGCAGGGUUUCGCCGGGUAGCGGCCACGGGUGAAGAAUGGCCCCCUGUCCCACACAUCAUAUAGCCGGCCACGCGCGGCAGGGCGGGCCCUCAUCACUCCGCCGCUGUGAGCAUCCUUUGAAAGUUAUGCCGGACAUGUGCCUGUACAGGGACAGGGCAAAGGCGGAAAUGUUGCUGCCACGGGGCUACCACCACUUCAGGCUACUGCUCGCCAGCAGCAUCAGCAGAAGGCGCGCGUGAAAAAUGUUGUAUCACGACUUCAGAAACGUACCGUGAUAGACAUGCCCCGGAUACUACAAAGAAGCGCGAUCUGUCUAGCUAUAGCGCCAGCCACACACACACACACACACACACACACACACACACACACACACACACACACACACACACACACACACACACACACACACACACACACACACACACACACACACACGGUGCGGCCUAAGAGAAGCAAGGACAUGCAGCACUAACAGAGUAAACGCAGCAUUAUUAAUAAGUGCGCCGGUUUCCCUUUGGAGUUUGCCUGGAUGCGUAAACAUUUGUAUAUAUUCGUAUAUAUUCG
rnacentral:lncRNA from 1 species